rnacentral:rRNA from 1 species
GACGAACGCUGGCGGCGUGCCUAACACAUGCAAGUGGCGCGACGAACCGGACUUCGGUCCGGGGCAAAGCCGCGAACGGGUGAGUAACACGUGGGUAACCUGCCCCGAUGAUUGGGACAACCCGAGGAAACUCGGGCUAAUACCGAAUGUGCCCUGCGAUCUCAAGACCGCUGGGGAAAGGAAGCUUCGGCCUCCGCAUCGGGAUGGGCCCGCGGCCCAUUAGCUUGUUGGUGAGGUAAAGGCUCACCAAGGCGACGAUGGGUAGCUGGUCUGAGAGGACGAUCAGCCACACUGGGACUGAGACACGGCCCAGACUCCUACGGAAGGCAGCAGUGGGGAAUCUUGCGCAAUGCGCGAAAGCGUGACGCAGCAACGCCGCGUGGGGGAAGACGGCCUGGUGUAAC